rnacentral:rRNA from 1 species
AUUGAACGCUGGCGGCAGGCCUAACACAUGCAAGUCGAGCGAGCGGCGGACGGGUGAGUAAUGUAUGGGGAUCUGCCUGAUGGAGGGGGAUAACUACUGGAAACGGUAGCUAAUACCGCAUACCAUCAGAUGAACCCAUCUGGGAUUAGCUUGUAGGUGAGGUAACGGCUAACCUAGGCGACGAUCCCUAGCCGGUCGGAGAGGAUGAUCAGCCACACUGGGACUGAGACACGGCCCAGACCCCUACGGGAGGCAGCAGUGGGGAAUAUUGCGCAAUGAGGGAAACCCUGACGCAGCCAGGCCGCGUGAAUGAGGAAGGCCUUCGGGUUGUAAAGUACUUUCGGUAGCGAGGCGUUAACUAAAGAAGAAGCACCGGCUAACUCCGUGCCAGCAGCCGCGGUAAUUC